rnacentral:rRNA from 1 species
GGUAGAAUUCCAGGUGUAGCGGUGAAAUGCGUAGAGAUCUGGAGGAAUACCGGUGGCGAAGGCGGCCCCCUGGACGAAGACUGACGCUCAGGUGCGAAAGCGUGGGGAGCAAACAGGAUUAGAUA